AAUAACCAAAAUUUUUGACAUAAGAAGUAGCAGAGGAUGCAAAAUUAAGCUCAUUUACUUUGCUCUCAUAAUCUGAAACAUGUCCAAUACCAUUUGCUGCAAGAAAUGGUGAAGAAUUCUUAGGCUCUACCAAAAUCUUGUUGGCUUGUUUUGUAACACUCUUCUUAAGCUCUUCCAAUGCAUCCCUCAGUGUUUCUAGUUCAUGCAACCCAAGAUCAUGAACAGG
rnacentral:misc_RNA from 1 species